AUUGAACGCUGGCGGCAUGCCUUACACAUGCAAGUCGAACGACAGCACGGGAGCAAUCCUGGUGGCGAGUGGCGAACGGGUGAGUAAAGUAUCGGAACGUGCCCAGUCGUGGGGGAUAACGUAGCGAAGGUUACGCUAAUACCGCAUACGAUCUAUGGAUGAAAGCGGGGGAUCGCAAGACCUCGCGCGAUUGGAGCGGCCGAUAUCAGAUUAGGUAGUUGGUGGGGUAAAGGCUCACCAAGCCGACGAUCUGUAGCUGGUCUGAGAGGACGAACAGCGACACUGGGACUGAGACACGGCCCAGACUCCUACGGGAGGCAGCAGUGGGGAAUUUUGGACAAUGGGCGAAAGCCUGAUCCAGCCAUGCCGCGUGCAGGAUGAAGGCCUUCGGGUUGUAAACUGCUUUUGUACGAAACGAAAAGGUUUGGCCUAAUAAGCUGAGCUCAUGACGGUACCGUAAGAAUAAGCACCGGCUAACUACGUGCCAGCCGCCGCAGUAA
rnacentral:rRNA from 1 species